GCUCGUAGUUGGAUUUUGGUUAAGAGGGCGCGGUCGGCCGUUUGGUCUGUACUGCGUUGUCUUGACUUCCUGAUGAGGACAUGCUCUUGGUCAACGCUGAGACAUGGAGUCAUCGUGGUUACUUUGAAAAAAUUAGAGUGUUCAAAGCGGGCUUACGCUUGAAUAUAUUAGCAUGGAAUAACACUAUAGGACUCCUGUCCUAUCUCGUUGGUCUCGGGAUGGGAGUAAUGAUUAAGAGGAACAGUUGGGGGCAUUCGUAUUUCAUUGUCAGAGGUGAAAUUCUUGGAUUUAUGAAAGACGAACUUCUGCGAAAGCAUUUGCCAAGGAUGUUUUCAUUAAUCAAGAACGAAAGUUGGGGGCUCGAAGAUGAUUAGAUACCAUCCUAGUCUCAACCAUAAACGAUGCCGACUAGGGAUUGGUGGAUGUUAAUUGAUGACUUCACCAGCACCUUAUGAGAAAUCAAAGUUUUUGGGUUCCGGGGGGAGUAUGGUCGCAAGGCUGAAACUUAAAGGAAUUGACGGAAGGGCACCACCAGGCGUGGAGCCUGCGGCUUAAUUUGACUCAACACGGGGAAACUUACCAGGUCCAGACAUAAGUAUGAUUGACAGAUUGAGAGCUCUUUCUUGAUUCUAUGGGUGGUGGUGCAUGGC
rnacentral:rRNA from 1 species